AAACUCGGAGAUAGCUGGUUCUCCCCGAAAACUAUUUAGGUAGUGCCUUAUGAGUAUCUCACAGGGGUAAAGCACUGUAUCGGUAAUGGGGGCAUUAGUGCCUUACUGAUCCGAUGCAAACUCAGAAUACUGUGAAGAGUAAAUCAUAGGAGACACACUGCGGGUGCUAAGGUCCGUGGUGGAGAGGGCAACAGCCCAGACCGUCGAUUAAGGUCCCAAAGUUAUCACUAAGUGGGAAACGAAGUGGGAAGGCGAAGACAGCCAGGAAGUUGGCUUAGGAGCAGCCAACCUUUAAAGAAAGCGUAAUAGCUCACUGGUUGAGUCGGCCUGCGCGGAAGAUUUACCGGGUCUUAAGUGAUACACCGAAAUUGCGGAAUUGAUGUAAGUCAAUUGGUAGGGGAGCGUUCUGUAAGCUGAAGAAGGUGAACUGAGAAGUUUGCUGGAGGUAUCAGAAGUGCGAAUGCUGACAUGAGUAACGAUAAUGCGGGUGAGAAGCCCGCACGCCGAAAGUCUAAGGAUUCCUGCGCACUGUUAAUCAGCGCAGGGUAAGUCGGCCCCUAAGGUGAGGCUGAAGAGCGUAGCCGAUGGGAAACAGGUUAAUAUUCCUGUACUUACUAUUAAUUCGAAGGAGAGACGGAGAAGGUUAGGUUAUCCUGGUGAAUGGUUAUCCAGGCCCAAGCGUGUAGAUGGGAUGUUUAGGAAAAUCCGGACAUUUAUUAAACAUUGAGGCGUGAUGGGGAGGCACUUAUGUGCUGAAGUAAUUGAGACCCUGCUUCCAAGAAAAACUCCUAAGGAUCGUUAAUAGUGAACCGUACUGUAAACCGACACAGGUGGACAAGUAGAGCAUACUAAGGCGUUGAGAUAACUUGGGUGAAGGAACUAGGCAAAAUGGCACCGUAACUUCGGGAGAAGGUGCGCUCUUGCUGGUGAAGGGAUUUACGCCCGGAGCUGGCGAGAGUCGAAGAAACCAGGUGGCUGCGACUGUUUAUCAAAAACACAGCACUCUGCGAACUCGAAAGAGGAAGUAUAGGGUGUGACGCCUGCCCGGUGCCGGAAGGUUAAAUGAUGCGGUUAUCUGACCCUUUAAUUAUUUUCAAGAUCAAGGCGGAUUUAUUUUGUGACGAGGGAGCUUACAUUAGUAAGUGACUGAGGAGGAAUAAUGAAUCCAACGCGGAGCUUGAGAAUGAUUAGAGGGUCAGAGAAGCUGUUGAUUGAAGCCCCGGUAAACGGCGGCCGUAACUAUAACGGUCCUAAGGUAGCGAAAUUCCUUGUCGGGUAAGUUCCGACCUGCACGAAUGGCGUAACGACGGCCACGCUGUCUCCACCCAAGGCUCAGUGAAAUUGAAAUUGCUGUGGAGAUGCAGUAUACCCGCGGCUAGACGGAAAGACCCCGUGAACCUUUACUACAGCUUUGCACUGGACUUUGACUAUACUUGUGUAGGAUAGGUGGGAGACUAUGAAGCUUUAACGCCAGUUAGAGUGGAGUCACCCUUGAAAUACCACCCUAUUAUAUUUGAAGUUCUAACCUAGGUCCUGAAACGGGAUUGGGAACAGUGCAUGGUGGGUAGUUUUACUGGGGCGGU
rnacentral:rRNA from 1 species